rnacentral:rRNA from 1 species
UACAGAGGGGGCAAGCGUUAUUCGGAAUUAUUGGGCGUAAAGGGCGCGUAGGCGGCAUGGCAAGUGGAUGGUGAAAUCCCUCGGCUUAACCGAGGAACUGCCGUCCAAACUGCUUCGCUUGAGACCGGGAGAGGUGAGUAGAAUUCCCAGUGUAGCGGUGAAAUGCGUAGAUAUUGGGAGGAACACCAGUGGCGAAGGCGGCUCACUGGACCGGUACUGACGCUGAUGCGCGAAAGCGUGGGGAGCAAACGGG